rnacentral:rRNA from 1 species
UGGUGAAUGCCUUGGCGAUAAGAGGCGAUGAAAGACGUGGCACGCUGCGAAAAGCUGCGGUGAGGUGCGAGCAACCUUUGACCCGCAGAUAUCUGAAUGGGGAAACCCACCCUUCGGGGUAUCCUGUAGUGAAUACAUAGCUGCAGGAGGCAAACCCGGGGAACUGAAACAUCUCAGUACCCGGAGGAAAGGACAUCAAUUGAGACUCCGUUAGUAGUGGCGAGCGAACGCGGAUCAGGCCAGUGCUCUCUCUUAGAUUAUCAGAACCAUCUGGAAAGUUGGGCCGUAGCGGGUGAUAGCCCCGUAUGAAGCGUCAACGAGAGAGACUCGAGUAGGGCGGGACACGUGAAAUCCUGUCUGAAUAUGGGAGGACCAUCUUCCAAGCCUAAGUACUCCUUAUCGACCGAUAGUGAACAAGUACCGUGAGGGAAAGGUGAAAAGCACCCCGACGAGGGGAGUGAAACAGACCCUGAAACCGGAUGCCUACAAGCAGUCGGAGGGCGCAAGCCUGACGGCGUACCUUUUGUAUAAUGGGUCAGCGACUUUGUCUCUCGAGCAAGCUUAAGCCGAUAGGUGUAGGCGUAGCGAAAGCGAGUCUGAAUAGGGCGUCAAGUUCGUUGGAUUAGACCCGAAACCGAGUGAUCUAGCCAUGAGCAGGCUGAAGGUUGGGUAACACCAACUGAAGGGCCGAACCCGUAUCUGUUGCAAUAGAUUGGGAUGACUUGUGGCUAGGGGUGAAAGGCCAAUCAAACCCGGAGAUAGCUGGUUCUCCGCGAAAACUAUUUAGGUAGUGCGUCAGAUGGUGGCUCUCGGGGGUAGAGCACUGGAUGGGCUAGGGGGUCCCACCGACUUACCAAACCUAACCAAACUCCGAAUACCGAUGAGUACUAUGAGGCAGACACACUGCGGGUGCUAAGGUCCGUAGUGGAGAGGGAAACAGCCCUGACCGCCAGCUAAGGUCCCUAAGUUAUCACUAAGUGGGAAACGAUGUGGGAGUGCUUAGACAACCAGGAGGUUGGCUUAGAAGCAGCCAUCCUUUAAAGAAAGCGUAAUAGCUC